rnacentral:rRNA from 1 species
CGGCGCACAUAAGACAUGCAAGUCGAACGAACUUAACCAUUAGUUUACUAUUGGAGCGGUUAGUGGCGGACUGGUGAGUAACACGUAAGCAACCUGCCUAUCAGAGGGGAACAACAGUUAGAAAUGACUGCUAAUACCGCAUAUGCCUUGAGUAUCACAUGGUACAAAAGGGAAAGGAGCAAUCCGCUGAUAGAUGGGCUUGCGUCUGAUUAGAUAGUAGGUGAGGUAACGGCCCACCAAGUCGACGAUCAGUAGCCGGACUGAGAGGUUGAACGGCCACAUUGGGACUGAGAUACGGCCCAGACUCCUACGGGAGGCAGCAGUCGGGAAUAUUGCGCAAUGGAGGAAACUCUGACGCAGUGACGCCGCGUGCAGGAAGAAGGUUUUCGGAUUGUAAACUGCUUUAGACAGGGAAGAAACAAGACAGUACCUGUAGAAUAAGCUCCGGCUAACUACGUGCCAGCAGCCGCGGUAAUACGUAGGGAGCAAGCGUUAUCCGGAUUUAUUGGGUGUAAAGGGUGCGUAGACGGGAAAUUAAGUUAGUUGUGAAAUCCCUCGGCUUAACUGA